ensembl:lncRNA
CACUGCUGUUAUUAAGCCAAUGCACGCAGAGCCACUGGGAUGAAAACGCGUACUUUAUUUCAUGGACUGUUUUAUCUCCGUCUCAUUAUAAGAAGGGAUGUAGCAGUAACCAAAGAGAUUAAGUUUUAAAUCUGUCCCUUUAUCCAGGUGCACGAGGAAAUGAUUUAAGUGAGCUGGACAUUGGAGGCACAUAUCAGGUUUCAGUGACUUGCUGCACUUGGCCUGCAGUGACCGAUUAAAGAACCCUUGGGAAGGAGAGAAAGCUACCUGGGCUGUGGUUUUUAAAAUGAGUGACCUCGACUCAGUCCUGAGAUUCCCUGGCUUCGCUUUUUGACAAAACUGGACAGUAUCAAAGCUGUCAUGGCGCUCACAUGUCUGCCUAUAAUCCAUCGCAGCAGGAAGAGGAAGAGAACAUUUUUCACCAUCACACAUUGGAGGAAAAAAUAAGAAACAUAACAUGCAAAAGGAAGAAGGGUUUGAAAAGAAUGAAACAGGUUUUAAUGAAGCCUGACAACAAGGAGGAAGAGGAAGUUACUCACAUCGUUAUUGUGC